rnacentral:rRNA from 1 species
UUGACCCGUCUUGAAACACGGACCAAGAAGUCUAUCUUACGCGCAAGCCAAUGGGCAUACCACAUACCAUGUGCAGAAGUGCUGCCGGUAUAUUAUAACCAUUAAACCCACAGGCGAAGACAACUCGAUUGUCACGGGAUUACGGGCACGGAUGGGGCGCAAGCCCCUAAUAGAACCGAGCCCCUCCAUCCCAGGGUGCUCCGUCACGGGUGCUUGCACCCAGCGGGCAUCCCCGGAGUGCGCAGGAUGUGACCCGAAAGAUGGUGAACUAUGCUUGAUCAGGUCGAAGUCAGGGGAAACCCUGAUGGAGGACCGAAGCAAUUCUGACGUGCAAAUCGAUUGUCAGAGUUGAGCAUAGGGGCGAAAGACCAAUCGAACCAUCUAGUAGCUGGUUCCUUCCG